rnacentral:rRNA from 1 species
UUUUAUUAAACUUAAUCUUUUUGGCGGUUAAUUAACCUCUCAUAGGAAUUUGUUAGUUUUAAUAGAUAACCCGCUUUUAUUAUUUCCUUUUUAAAUUUUAUGUACGGCUGUUGAGUGUUAAUUUAAAAUUUAUUACUAAAAAAAUUUUUUUUUUAAUUCAGGUCAAUGUGUAGAUUAUAAAAAGGUUUUUAAUGAAUUACUUUUUUAGGAAGAAUUAUUUAUUUAUUUUAGAAAUUGGAUAUGAAAGUAAAUAAGAAUUAAAAUUUCUUAUUGGUGGAGGACCUUAUUAAAGUACAUAUCGCCCGUCACUCUUUUAAAAG